rfam:Triticum aestivum genome assembly, contig: Triticum_aestivum_CS42_TGACv1_scaffold_306345_4AS
AAUGUACUCCCUCCGUCCAAAAAUACUUGUCCAAGGAAUGGAUGUAUCUAGACGUAUUUUAGUUCUAGAUACAUCCAUUUCUAUUCAUUUCUGUGACAGAGGGAGUACACU